rnacentral:rRNA from 1 species
GUAGUCCACGCCCUAAACGAUGUCAACUAGGUGUUGGGAGGGUAAAACCUUUUAGUACCGUAGCUAACGCGAGAAGUUGACCGCCUGGGGAGUACGGCCGCAAGGUUAAAACUCAAAGGAAUUGACGGGGACCCGCACAAGCGGUGGAUGAUGUGGAUUAAUUCGAUGCAACGCGAAAAACCUUACCUACCCUUGACAUGUCAGGAACUUGCCAGAGAUGGCUUGGUGCCCGAAAGGGAACCUGAACACAGGUGCUGCAUGGCUGUCGUCAGCUCGUGUCGUGAGAUGUUGGGUUAAGUCCCGCAACGAGCGCAACCCUUGUCGUUAAUUGCCAUCAUUCAGUUGGGCACUUUAACGAGACUGCCGGUGACAAACCGGA